rnacentral:rRNA from 1 species
UACAGAGGUCUCAAGCGUUGUUCGGAUUCAUUGGGCGUAAAGGGUGCGUAGGCGGGCAGGUAAGUCAGUGGUGAAAUCUCCGAGCUUAACUCGGAAACUGCCGUUGAUACUAUUUGUCUUGAAUAUUGUGGAGGUAAGCGGAAUAUGUCAUGUAGCGGUGAAAUGCUUAGAUAUGACAUAGAACACCAAUUGCGAAGGCAGCUUACUACACAACGAUUGACGCUGAGGCACGAAAGCGUGGGGAUCAAACAGG